rnacentral:rRNA from 1 species
UACGUAGGGUGCAAGCAUUAAUCGGAUUUAAUUGGGCGUAAAGGGCGCGUAGGCGGAAAUGCCAGAUCAGAGUGUGAAAUCCCCGGGGCUCAACCCCGGAACAGCAUUUGGAAACUACAUUUCUAGAGGAUAGACGGAGAAAACGGAAUUCCACAAGUAGCGGUGAAAUGCGUAGAUAUGUGGAAGAACACCAGUGGCGAAGGCGGUUUUCUAGUUUAUACCUGACGCUGAGGCGCGAAAGCAAGGGGAGCGAACGGG